rnacentral:misc_RNA from 1 species
AUGACUAAUUUGUGAGGAGAAGUUUUACCUACUUGUGAUGCUUUGUGAGUGUCUAUGAUGACAUUUAGAUUUGCUCACAAGUAUUAUAAAACAAGUUAAGCUGCAUAGCAUGUCAUCCAACUAUCAAUUGCAAGGAAAUGUUUCCUUAAUGGCAAAUGGUAAUUGGCAUGGCUAGACGCUAGCUCAUGCAACACUAUUGUAAAAAUGAACACCAGUUAGCCAUGUACAAAUGCAUUUGUUUUUCUUCGGCCCCACAACCAACCCCCCC